GCCAAAAUACCAGCGUAUUGUAGUAUGCAAUGAUAUCUUUGUUUUUUUUAUAGGACUAACAUAAUAUUUCAAAGACAAGUAUUCGAUGUUUGUCUUUGAAAUAUUAUGUUAGUCCAAUAAAAAAGGUAUCAUUGCAUACUGCAAUGCUCUGGUAUUUUGGC